rnacentral:lncRNA from 1 species
GUGCGGUUCGUAAGACCAAUCAGAAAAGUGCUGUUUUUCAGUCCUGUUGCUAUCUGGCAGGAAGUCCCGUGAGUUUUUGCCUAGCGCAGUCUACACCUGGUUCCGGGCCAAGUGGGUUUUUGACAACUGUCCUGGUGCCUUCUUUGCAUUGGGAGAAGCCAACUCCGGAACUGUGGAUACAAAAGAACCCCUGUCCGCCUCCUUGGGCGCUGUGCGCCUUCUCACGCGCCCGCUUACUCCGCAGAGCGUGAUCUUUUCCGCCUUCACUAAAUGUACGCUUGCGCCGCCUUUUCCGUGUCUCUUGUCUCGUCCACUUCUGUGUUCAGGACACCGAGGAUCCGGAGGGAAUCCCGCGGGACCCCCUAGCUGGUAACAGACAGGCCGUGGGUAGACGCUCCGGUUUCCGCACUGUGGCUAGAUAAACGCGGCUCUCCUAGAGCCAGAAUGAGGCACAGCCUUGAAAGAAACCACAGCCCCAGCGCUUUAUGUUUAAUUUACUUUUUUGAAGAACUGGGAUUGCCCUCCCCGCUUCAGUUAUUCUAAACUAAUGAGACGACCUGAAGGAAUGUACUGAGACCUCUGCGUUCGGUUGGGCUCUCAUCCAAAGAGCUUGGCGUCCCCUGGUGGCCAUGGAAACACAGAGCCUGCACCCCACCCCCACCCCCCGGCCAGGAUCUGCAGCGGGCGGGGAAGCCCGCGCUGGACGUCGCCCUCCUGGGUGGUACCAAAGAUUAAACCCAGCGACUAGGACAUGCUGGGCAAGCCCUCUACACCUGAGCUACGCUCCAGAACUUUUUAUUUGAGACAGGAUCUCUAAAUUGCCCAGGCUGCCCUUGAAUUUGAGCCGCUUCCAUGUCAGCCCUCCAAGCAGCUGGGACUGCAGGUGUGCACCAGCACAGCUGGCUUUAAGCAUCUUGCCUGGUAAAUGCUGUAGACAGCCUAGCAGCUCCUUUGGAACAUAGCAUUUAUUUUAAACUUAGUAGCUGAGUCAAACCAGUAAUAUGACAUUUACGGCAUGAUUAAUAGGAAAAAAGAAACCGGGGAAACACUAUGUGCUUAACAAUAUUGGUUCAAUAAAUGAGAGGACAUUCAGACCGUAUGAAGAACAGGAGCGGGUGUCCAAGAUGUAUCAUGAUGUUUCUGGUUCUAUGUGCUAGAAACUGGAAUCCACUGCUUCUAAGAUCACACAGUCAUUUCAAGUUACGAUUAUGAAGAUCAACGAAGCAACAUGGAAAAAUCUUAUGAUGUAAAGCGAAGAAUGCAGGACUCCAAGUGAGUAUAAGCAUUGUACUCUCAGCUGUGUCAAGAUAUGCAAAUAAAAGAGAAGG